UUAUGGAAUUUUCUUUUUUCUUGAAAAUUCUAUUUGUGCGUUUUAGAAGAUAAUGUGACAUUGUUGAUAACAAAAAAUGUGAAAUAUUAUUUAAAAAACAUGCUAUUUUGUUUAAAACUUGAUUUUUGUUUCUGUUAGUUGUAUAAAAUUGUAAUGACCCACCACUCCCACCAUCUCCACUAUCUCCACCAUCUCCACCAUCUCAAAUUUCUAUAAAACUCAAGAAAGAGAGAGAGAGAGAAAGAGAGAGAGAGAAGAAGAAGAAGAGAGAAAGCUCACCUGAGCUCGUCGCCGGAGCAACCGUGCGCCGUGAUCACGUUCAGCUUGCCACCACCGAUAAACACCCUAGACCACCAUCGUGUUCCUCUCGUCGAGACGAAGCCGUAGACACCAACCACGCUUCAAUCGGAGCCCGGACGAAGCCGCACGCGCCUCCAGAAGUUUCGCCACUGCGCGCGCUUGAGGUACACGCGCCGCCGCCGGACCACCGUCCUCCGCCGCAGCUCCGCCGCCGGACCACCGUCCUCCGCCGCAGCUCCGCCGCCGGACCACCGUCCUCCGCCGCAGCUCCGCCGCCGGAUCACCGUCCUCCGCCGCAGCUCCGCCGCCGGACCGCCGUAGCCGCCGCCGCAUCUCCGCCGUCACCGCCGGUGACCGACACCGGUGACUCGCCGGCGACUCGCCAACUCGGCCGAGUCGACCCGGUGAGUCAACUCGGUGACUUGGUCAAACCGGUGGUUUCACUGGUUUAAUCGGUUUAAAUUGAUUUCGGUUCGGUUAGGGUAAACCGGUCGGUUUAGUCAAAUCGAUUUCUGGUCAAAGCUUGACCGGGUUGACUUUGACCACCGGAUUGACUUUUCCGCAAACCUUGACCAGUUCCGUUUUUUGAUCGUUCGAAAGGCGUUCCGACUCGAAAUUUCGAUCUGAUUUCAGAUUUGGAGUCCAUUUGAGCAGCUGGAGUUCAUAUAUACCACUUCUAUUCAUUGCUAAGCUGUUAAAUCAUAGGCAGAGAUCAUUCAUCAAUUCGAGGUCAUUGUCGCAAUGGGAAGGUUCGCCACCAUCGUACUUGAUCAAAGGGAGAAAUAGUGAGGUCGAAGAUCGAAAAAGAAAAUUGAUAGCGAAUUCUAAAGUGUGAUUCUGAUACUAUGAAAAUUCGUAUAUCAUAAUUUGUUUCUUGUAUUAUUCAUUGACCCGAUCUUUACUAUUAUUUAUAUACUGUUAUUUAAGAAUUGAUUUUGUUGAUU